rnacentral:lncRNA from 13 species
ACCAUGUUACCAGCACUAAGAGCCCCAAGACCAUGCUACCAUGUUACCAGCCCUAAGAGCCCCUAGACCAUGCUACCCUGUUACCAGCCCUAAGAGCCCCUAGACCAUGCUACCAUGUUACCAGCCCGAAGAGCCCCUAGACCAUGCUACCAUGUUACCAGCCCUAAGAGCCCGUAGACCAUGCUACCAUGAUACCAGCCCUAAGAGCUCAUAGACCAUGUUACCAUGUUACCAGCACUAGGAGCUCAUAGACCAUGUUACCAUGUUACCAGCACUAGGAGCUCAUAGACCAUGUUACCAUGUUACCAGCACUAGGAGCUCCUACACCUUUUUCAUGUGACUCGUUGGGGUUCUCUCAAACCCCCUCACCCAAUAAAGUGUGUUUGUGUCAAGGUUGCCAGGUUUGUGAUGAUUCCUGGUUGCCAGGUGUUGUGAUGAUCCCGCAUGAAUAGACUAACUAACCCUCAACCCUGUACUAUACUCUAUGUAAUAGUCCCCUUGAACCAAACGUGACCACAUUUCCUGCAUCCUACCUUAAGAUAUGUAAGGAAGCAGACGAUCUGUGUAAGGACACUAGAUACGGUUUCUGAAGGCGUGAUCAUAUACAUCCAAGUGUCUGUACACUGAGGGACAUGCUGUUUAUUUAGAGUACGUGUGUCUGUACACUGAGGGACAUGCUGUUUAUUUAGAGUCUUGUGUUUCUCCUGUGUGUGAAAAACGUUAGGUAACUCUGAUCCUUCUGCGGUUGCCGUCGAUCUGUGUUUUUAAAAAAAAAAUUUUUUUAAGUGUGACCGUUGACUUAUGGUUCAGAACACAACUUAUUUAAAAAAUAAAUAAAAAUUGUAUGGUGUUAAUUAAAGCAAUGAUCUUGGAAGAUAUUGAAAAUAAAAUAUAGCUAUUGUUGUAUCCCCCCCAUGCCAUGACCCGGUGUAGUGAGACCUCUGGCAUCUGGUUCUCCAUUGACGUGAUAUACCAGAGAGAUUUUCAUCUGACCUGCCGAAAUUAUGCUGUAACUUUGCGCGUGUGUGUGUGUGCGUGUGUGUGUGUGUGUGUGUGUGUGUGUGUGUGUUGAUUGGAUGUGUGUGUGUUGAUUGGAUAAGACAGUUUUACAGGAGCCAUUCUGAUUGGUUAGGGACUCGGGAGAGACCGCUCCUACUCAGUCCUAUUUAUUAUAAUUAUUGUGCAUUUGCCAUGUAUACUAUAUAUAUAUGUCUAAUUUACCAAACUGGGACAAUGAAGAGACAUUUAUUGUUCUAUAAAUAUAUUAAUAUCUGCGUUACGUGAGUACAAUUAGCCAAGGAGCAUGCCAAAAUAAUUCCAUGUGUGUAUUCUAGUAAAAAUCCUGUAUGUUGAACUCAUCAGGGUGAUAAAGACCUUGUUCUUCCUCAAGCCAUGGGGGAAUAGUACUGUUUUUUUCUUGAUCCUAAGUGACCAAUGCUAAUAAACUGGAAUUUAGACGCUCAAUUUGGGUCUUUGUUUUUCUUUUGUGCACUGUGGUUC